CACAGCUGUGGACUCAGAGGCAGAGCUCUGGGGCAUUUCCACCAUGGCCUGGACCCCUCCCCUGCUCACCCUCCUCACUCUCUGCACAGGUGC
rnacentral:pre_miRNA from 1 species